rnacentral:rRNA from 1 species
GACGAACGCUGGCGGCGUGCUUAACACAUGCAAGUCGAGCGGAAAGGCCACUUCGGUGGUACUCGAGCGGCGAACGGGUGAGUAACACGUGAGUAAUCUGCCCCUGGCUUUGGGAUAGCCACCGGAAACGGUGAUUAAUACCGGAUACGACCACUUCUCGCAUGGGAUGGUGGUGGAAAGUUUUUUCGGCCAGGGAUGUGCUCGCGGCCUAUCAGCUUGAUGGUGAGGUAAUGGCUCACCAUGGCUUCGACGGGUAGCCGGCCUGAGAGGGUGAGCGGUCACACGGGGACUGAGACACGGCCCAGACUCCUACGGGAGGCAGCAGUGGGGAAUAUUGGACAAUGGGCGGAAGCCUGAUCCAGCAACGCCGCGUGAGGGAUGACGGCCUUCGGGUUGUAAACCUCUUUCAGCAGGGACGAAGCGCAAGUGACGGUACCUGCAGAAGAAGCACCGGCCAACUACGUGCCAGCCGCCGCCCGUAA